ensembl:snoRNA
ACUCUUUUGUGGUUCAUAAGUGUGAUGAUUGGGUUUUCACGCUCAUGUGUGCAGUGUGCCUGCCUCAAACCUUGUUAUGAUGUAGGCACAUUAUCUGUCUGAUG